rnacentral:rRNA from 1 species
UGCCAGCCGCCGCGGUAAUACGAAGGUCCCAAGCGUUGUUCGGAAUAACUGGGCGUAAAGAGCUCGUAGGCGGUUCAACAAGUCAAUUGUUAAAGACAUCGGCUUAACCGAUGGAGUGCAGUUGAAACUGUUAGAAUAGAGUUUAGGAGAGGAAAGUGGAAUUUCUGGUGUAGCGGUGACAUGCGUAGAUAUCAGAAGGAACACCAAUGGCGAAGGCAACUUUCUGGCCUAAAACUGACGCUGAGGGACGAAAGCGUGGGGAGCGAACAGGAUUAGAUA